rnacentral:rRNA from 1 species
UACGUAGGGGGCGAGCGUUAUCCGGAUUUACUGGGUGUAAAGGGAGCGUAGAGGGCUUUGCAAGCCAGAUGUGAAAGCCCGGGGCUCAACCCCGGGACUGCAUUUGGAACUGUGUGGCUAGAGUGUCGGAGAGGCAGGCGGAAUUCCUAGUGUAGCGGUGAAAUGCGUAGAUAUUAGGAGGAACACCAGUGGCGAAGGCGGCCUGCUGGACGAUGACUGACGUUGAGGCUCGAAAGCGUGGGGAGCAAACAGG